CUGGGAAAUGUCCCGCUUUGUGGUCUGCGACGAGAGGCGUGAAGUGGGCCUGACCGUCACGCCUUCCCGGUUCACGCCGUCACUCAAACAGGUCUCGUGCCUCGGAUCCCAACGCUGACCCGCUGUGUGGAAGGAAGGCUCAACGCGAUCCACGUGCUUCUCCUCUGAUUCUUUGCGCCCACUCUUGGCCUUUUUGGGGUUUUUUCCCUUUCACUUUCCGCGUCUUCCCCUCAGCCUGCGGAUCUCACCGGGGGGCUUGCCUGAGCACUUUCCCCCCCGCAGCCGCCGCAGCAGGGAUGGCCACCGCGAGGCUCGACUACGUGGCUCCGUGGUGGACCUACUGGCUGCACCAUUUCCCCCACUUGGACUUGUCGUUCAAGCCCGUGGACGGCGCGUUUAGACCGGAGCAGGACGACUACCAGCAGUCUGUGGUGGUCCUGGCCUUCGUCGGAGCAGCGGGCCUCGGUGUGAGCCUGCUGGUUUUGGUGGUCUUCUUGCUGUGCCUGUGUUGCUGCCGAAGGGACGUGGACGAAGACGCCAAAAGGCCCGAGCGGACCUGCUGUGUGACAUGGUCGGCCAUCGUCACGGGCCUUAUCAUAUGUUCUGCUGUGGGAGUGGGUUUCUAUGGAAACAGCGAGACCAAUGACGGCGUGUACCAGUUAACCUACUCCAUCUACAACGCCAAUCGCACUUUGGGCAGCAUAAACACCCUGUCCUCAGGCUCUUUGGGAAACACGGAAAGGGGAGUCAAGCAGCACCUGGAGCGUCUGGACGAGAUCUUUGCGGCGCGGCCCGACUACCUUCAGGCUCUGCGCUUCAUGCAGCUGAUGGUGAACAACAUCAUCCGGGAACUGACGGCCCUGCCAGACCUCAGCAGAGCCAACGUGGACCUGGCCGGCGCCGCGGACCGGACAGCCUUCAUUGAGUAUUACAGGUGGCUCACCUACCUGCUCCUGCUGAUCCUGGAUCUGCUCAUAUGUCUGGCCGUGUGCUUGGGGAUGGCCAAGCAGUCUCGAUGGCUGCUCAUCAUGAUCAUGGCCUUUGUGCUGCUGUCUGUGAUCUUGAGCUGGGCCUCACUGGGAGCCAUCUUAGCUACAGCUGUGGGCACCAGCGACUUCUGCGUGUCUCCCGACAAGUUCAUUGUGAACCAAACCAAAGAUUUCCUCAGUGCAGAUGUUGCUCACUAUUAUUUGUUCUGCAGUCCGAAUCUACCCAACCCCUUCCAACAGUCUCUGACGAUCUGCCAGCGCUCGCUGACCACAAUGCAGAUCCAGGUCCAGGGUUUGCUGCAGUUCUCUGUGCCCAUCUUCCCCACCGCUGAGAGAGACCUUUUAGGCAUCCAGCGCCUGUUGAACACCAGCGAGUUUAAUCUGCACCAGCUGACGGCCUUGCUCGAUUGUCGCGGGCUGCACAAGGACUACCUGGAUGCCCUCAUGGGCGUGUGCUACGACGGCGUCGAAGGCCUCCUCUACCUGGCUUUGUUCUCGCUAGUGGCGGCGUGCGGACUCUCCGCCAUGCUGUGUGCUAUUUUCAGCGUGUGGACGCUAAUGGGAAGCAGAGACAAAGAGUACGACGAUAUAGACGAGGACGACCCGUUCAACCCUCAAGCGCGACGCAUGUCCUACAACCAGAGGAGAUCCAACAUCCACAGCUUCUGCAGCUACACCAGCAGCGUUGGCAGUCAGGCCAGCAUCCAUCCUCCACCUCAGGCGGCCGCCAGUGUGCUGCCCGCCCCUGAAUACAUGAAUCAGUCCAUGCUGUUUGGCGGGAGCCCGCGAUACGAAAACGUGCCAUUGAUAGGCAGAGGAUCCCCGCCCCCGUCGGUGCGUUGGCCCUACAUGGCCCUGGUGUCCCAAGUGUGACCACCACAACCCCCACUCAGCUCACACACACACAGCAAAAACACCCUUCAGCACUUGCACUCACUCAACCUCAUUUUGGCCACAACAAAUAAAACUUGAGUAACUGCAAGUGGUGGAAGACUGCCCUCUGGUGGCCCAUCGACUGAGCCAUAAUUUCCACCGGGGAAUUAAAUUGCCUCUUAAUAAGACAAAUGCAUCAAAUGUGUAAAACAACCUCCAGUGAGCACGCAAGACUGCAUUGUUACCUCGCUCGCUCGUAUAUAAUAAUAGAAAUGUUAAUCCAAGAGCUGAUAGUCAAUAAGUGAGUCAUGUGUCCCCGGAGCGGCGGCUAAAUAAUUGAUAACGCUGGUAAACCCACACUUUUUCUCCUUUAAAGUGCCCUCUCUCUUUUAUAAUGAGGCUUCUGUCGGACGGCGGGACCGCAUUACUACAUUCACAGAAUUUAAAUGACUUGGAAAAGGCAGACAAUGUGGCCCGCUGUUUAAAAAUGUACACUCUCUGUCUCUGUGAGAUACAUUUCAACGCAGCCAUUAAAGGCAGCUCAUACAAGAAUAAUGGGCCUUAUCACGGAAUAUCAAUGCGGCGUAUUGUAAGCGUCGCAAAAUGCUAUUUGCAUAAUUCUGUCCCAUAUCGCCUCAUUGCAACACGAGUCCAAAUCUUAGAAACGGCUUCAGGAUGAUGCAGUGCACUUCUUAAACCGCAAUAAUAAGCAUAUUGUUAAAUUAAUAUCUCAAAAUUGGGCAUUAUUAUCCUUUUUUAAAGGCAGAAUGUUUAAUACGGUUCUUAAAAAUAAUAAUGGAAUAAAAAUGAACAAACUGUAAUAAAAAAUGAGCAUGAAAAAUAAUAGUCAACAUGAAAAUAAGCUAAGAUGUUAAUUUAGAUUUAAUUUAAUUUUUUUAAAUAGUCAAACAAAAAUGCAAUAUUUUUCAAAUGUAAUACGUCAUAAAAGUAUUAAAGCAAACAUGAAAACAAUUUGAGAUGUUACAAAAUGUAAAAUAACAAUCAUGUAUCUAAAAUAAUAAUAAUAAUCAAACGUGAAAAAAUUUUAUCUUGUGACCACAGAUCUCCUAUUGAAUCUCAUGCGAUUGUGCGACUGUUCCAAGUUUUGUGGCCAGUACAUUAAAUUAUGAAUUAGUCAAACAUGGAAACUCAUGCUGACCUUAAUGUUAUAACCUGAUGACUUUGUCAUCAUCACAAACAGUUGGCGGAUACUUUGCAGCCGUCUACAAUCAUGCACAUUGUUUCUCUACUCUAUUUAUGUGUAUAUCGUAUUUAUGUAUUUCAAUAUUUUAGUUGCCUGCUUAUGCUGUCAUAGAAGAAUGCUGAAUAUGAACGUGCAUGAGACUAACCGCUUUGUUUGUUUUUCUAUCAUUCAACUCAGACUUUUAAAAACAAAGUCUUUUUUUAUUGUAUUUGAUUUGAUUGAUUUAUGAUUUUUUUUUUAAUUGAAUGAAUGUCCUCCACUGUCUGGACACUUUUCACCCUUUUUUUGCUUUAUGCGUUGCUGUGCCAAGUGCUUGCUCCUCCCCUAACAUGCAUGCGCCGCUAAAAGCUUCAGCACACUCGCAAUUACUCGGCCGGUAUGAGUACCACGUAUUUGUCGAUGACUGAAGCCCAGAUCAGACACUUUGGCACAGACUUCCAGGCGUA